rnacentral:rRNA from 1 species
AUUGAACGCUGGCGGCAGGCCUAACACAUGCAAGUCGAACGAGUGGCGGACGGGGGAGUAAUGUCUGGGAGACUGCCUGAUGGAGGGGGAUAACUACUGGAGACGGUAGCUAAUACCCCGUACCAUCGCAUGUGCCCAGAUGGGAUUAGCUAGUAGGUGGGGUAAAGGCGCACCUAGGCGACGAUCCCUAGCUGGUCUGAGAGGAUGACCAGCCACACUGGAACUGAGACACGGUCCAGACUCCUACGGGAGGCAGCAGUGGGGAAUAUUGCACAAUGGGCGCAAGCCUGAUGCAGCCAUGCCGCGUGUAUGAAGAAGGCCUUCGGGUUGUAAAGUACUUUCAGCGGGGAGGCGUUACCCGCAGAAGAAGCACCGGCUAACUCCGUGCCAGCAGCCGCGGUAAUAC